rnacentral:rRNA from 1 species
AUGUUCAUAGAUGUUUCGGUUCUAUGUUCGGUACGUGCUCAUAUGUUUAGAUUUCAGCACGAGCUUCAUACUCUUAAUGCCAUGUUCAUGAUCUAUUCAUGGAUUAAGUUAAUCCAAAUAGUGGUAAUAUACCAAGCAGUUUCUUACUCAACGUAUUAUUGGGAAAUUUGGCAAUUCUACAUACUCCCUUAUUUUUGUUUUAUUGGGCUGAUCUUGAAAAUCACAUCAACCAAAGAGGAUAUAUUUAAGUGCUACAGACAACAUAUUGAUGCUACAUGCGUGACUCUCACUCCUUCAUGCACUAUUUGA